rnacentral:rRNA from 1 species
CUGGUCGGACAUCAGGAGGUUAGUGCAAUGGCAUAAGCCAGCUUGACUGCGAGCGUGACGGCGCGAGCAGGUGCGAAAGCAGGUCAUAGUGAUCCGGUGGUUCUGAAUGGAAGGGCCAUCGCUCAACGGAUAAAAGGUACUCCGGGGAUAACAGGCUGAUACCGCCCAAGAGUUCAUAUCGACGGCGGUGUUUGGCACCUCGAUGUCGGCUCAUCACAUCCUGGGGCUGAAGUAGGUCCCAAGGGUAUGGCUGUUCGCCAUUUAAAGUGGUACGCGAGCUGGGUUUAGAACGUCGUGAGACAGUUCGGUCCCUAUCUGCCGUGGGCGCUGGAGAACUGAGGGGGGCUGCUCCUAGUACGAGAGGACCGGAGUGGACGCAUCACUGGUGUUCGGGUUGUCAUGCCAAUGGCACUGCCCGGUAGCUAAAUGCGGAAGAGAUAAGUGCUGAAAGCAUCUAAGCACGAAACUUGCCCCGAGAUGAGUUCUCCCUGACCCUUUAAGGGUCCUGAAGGAACGUUGAAGACGACGACGUUGAUAGGCCGGGUGUGUAAGCGCAGCGAUGCGUUGAGCUAACCGGUACUAAUGAACCGUGAGGCUUAACCUUACAACGCCGAAGGUGUUU